AUUCCGUACUUCGGCUGUUCCCUCCUCCACAGGCUCUCUCUCUGCCUGUCUCUGGCUCAUUCACUCACAUAUUACACAGCAGUAAAAUUAGGAAGUGGGGAGACGGGACAAGUAAGUAAGGGAAUCUGCACAGGCUGAGCAACCCCACCCUCAGCCUUGCUGAGUUCUCUCCACCCAGAGGACACUGUACUCCUGCUCUGGGAAGACAGCGCCUCCCGCCAGGGGAUUCCGCCAACCACCGCUCCCUGCAAUCGGGGUUACCAGUGAUGAUUCUUCCCCCAGCAUCACCCUACGGUGUCUUGGCAGCCUGCCUCCUUCACAGACUGCCUCGAGAGUCCCUCAGAGCUAUUUCCUUAAAGACCAAAUGCGAGCAUAUCUUCACUGACGGGGUUUCAGAGCCUCACUUUGCAAGUUUUGAGGCAGAGGCUCAAACUAAUUUUGCUGAGAAGGACAGGAGAGCUGAGAGAAAAUCAAACAGAACGGCGGCUCUCCUCCCAUUCAUGGCAUGUAAUGCUCUGGGCCCAGCUACAUCUGCCAUGGCCUCCAGGGACCUGCUGGAGGGGUCUCCCAGCCCCACCUGGUAUAAGCCAAGCCUGCUCCAGACUCAGGAUCUGCCCAGAGGGCUGGGAUCUCACAGCCUGAGGUGGUUGAUAAGGAAAAGGGAAGAUGAAGCCUCCAUGUUGAACAUGCCUGGCCCCAGGUAGCCUUUUCCGAUUGGCACGGCUGCCGC